GUGUUUUAUGAAAGUAAAGAAAUAGGUUAACAGUCCCCAUGACAAGAAUGGAAAACAUUCUCAGGACCUAUACCACAUAUAUACAUUUAAAGUAUCACUCAGCCUGGGCACCAUGGUGAGGGCCUGUCUCUACAAAAUUUAAAUCUUA
ensembl:snRNA RNU6ATAC39P RNA, U6atac small nuclear 39, pseudogene